rnacentral:rRNA from 1 species
GACAGAGGGUGCGAACGCUGUUCGGAAUUACUGGGCGUAAAGCGCAUGUAGGCGGCAGCGCAAGUCGGGCGUGAAAUCCCACGGCUCAACCGUGGAAGUGCACUCGAAACUGCGCAGCUAGAGUCCUGGAGAGGAAGGUGGAAUGCUUGGUGUAGAGGUGAAAUUCGUAGAUAUCAAGCGGAACACCGGUGGCGAAGGCGGCCUUCUGGACAGUGACUGACGCUGAGAUGCGAAAGCGUGGGGAGCAAACAGG